rnacentral:misc_RNA from 1 species
UUAGUAUUAUUCCUAAAUUGAGUAAGACUUCUAAUGAGAUUAGGAUUGAAGGAAUUAACAUUAUAAAAUAGAAAAAUAGUGAAAAGUUUAUUUGGCUUUGUCUAUUGAAGAGAGUGGUUUUGCCAAUAGAGAGGAGUUAUCGCCCAUUGUAGAGAAAAGCUUUGGUUUUAGAUGGAGAAAGGACAAAAAUUUUAAGAGGAUGGAAUUCUUGUCAAUUGAUGAGAGACCUCUUGCUAAUGUGGUUGAAAACACCCCUUGUAGUAUAGUAGUUAAAAUAAUAAACAUAUUGAGUUAUGUCUAAAUGAAACUAAGAGGAUUAACUAAUAUAUUUUCUAUGAGCAGUUAUAUAAUGUGAGUUCUCUUGGGUGUAAUUUGGUUGAUAAGUAGUAAGAUUUGGGCUUGUAAUGAUGAUUUAUUUAUUGAUGAUAGUGGAAGAUGGCAUGUUCGUGGAUGUAACUCUAUGUUGAGAGGAUGAACCACGUAAAU